ACUUACAGCAUUACUACCUUGAGCACGCCCGAUCUCGUCUGAUCCCGGAAGUUAAGCAGGGUCGGGCCUGGUUAGUACUUGGAUGGGAGACCGCCUGGGAAUACCAGGUGCUGUAAGCU